UGGGGGUAAGCUUUGUAGAAGUGUUUAAUUUUUGCUUAAAUGAAAUAGCGUUUUGUUAUACCUUUAG
rnacentral:tRNA from 1 species